CUGCAGCAAAACCGGUGGGGAAAGGGACAGCCAAAUCAGGCUAUUUAAUGCAUGCGACAAGCAUUCACUUCCGGGGUGAAGAAUUCCUUUCCGGCCUACAGACCCCGCCCUCACAAAACUGCGGGCAAGUGAAGCGUGCUUCAGCCUCUUCCUCCCCGCGCCUGUCAGUUCACUCUCACUCGCUCAUUCACUGCAGCAUGAGCAUGCCGAGGACCGUGCCAGAUCCUGGGUUCCUCGGGGCAGUGAGGGGCCGGAUUAAUCUAUGCCUCCGUCCUUACCCGUGACCUGUGCACUUGAACAUCCUAUUCCAAGACAGAAAAGUACUCACGGGGUAGCUCCAGGGACCAGCAGCUCCGGCAGGGACCCCCAGGGAACAGGGCUGCCUGCCAACUGGGACCCCAAAGGCUGCUGGUGAGCCCAGGGCAAGGCCGCUGCACCUGCGCCAGGGAUGCUUGAAAUCCACCGAAAGGGGACAGCCACGUGCUUCCCCUCAGGGAUGGAGAGCCUGAGUUGGGUGUGGACCUCAACACUUCCUGAAAGUGAAAACUGAAAGUGUUUGGACAAACUGAGGAGAAAACUUAAUACAGGAAGAAUAUGGGAGGAAGAGUGGAAGAAACUUCUGACCCACUACUCCAACUGAUCCGUCCUCCAGGACUCAUUCUCAAUAUCCUCAUUCUUGGCUACCAGUUCAGCAGGUCUAAGCUGAUGACCUGGUGAAGUAACCCAGACCUUCAUCUCUAAGAAUCGGAGUAUUUAGUUGCCUUACCAUUGUUGGGCAUUUAUAGUUAUUGAGGGCAUGGAAGUAUGGAGACAUCUCAUUGAAUUUCCUGGCUUCCAGACAUGUAUCUUCCUGCCUUUGUUAUGUAGCAGCAACUCUGACUCUCUAUGGUAACAAACACAAAACUCCCGUCUUUAUCUGAUGAUCCACUAUCAUGAACUAUUCAAAAUGACCUGGCAGUGGUCAUGGUUUCAAGUUCAGUGGUAUUCUUAUCAUAUCAUCCAGAAAUGCAUCUCCACCCUUACCCUAGGAACCAGGACCUCUAAUCCAGUAGAGCAAUAAGCUGACAAGAAUAAGAAGUACUAAUUCUGCAAAUGAGUCACUGGGAGUGAUGGAGCCAAUCUUAUUUCUAUUCCUUGUUUCCUGAACCUGUGUAUUCUGUUAGACAAAGUACCAUAUAUUGAUUGUUGCUUCAAUAAAUACAACUUCACCCUGAAGACAGCAAC
rnacentral:lncRNA from 10 species